GACGAACGCUUGCGGCGUGCUUAACACAUGCAAGUCGAACGGAAAGGCCCUGCUUUUGUGGGGUGCUCGAGUGGCGAACGGGUGGGUAACACGUGAGUAACCUGCCCUUGACUUUGGGAUAACUUCAGGAAACUGGGGCUAAUACCGGAUAGGAGCUCCUGCUGCAUGGUGGGGGUUGGAAAGUUUCGGCGGUUGGGGAUGGACUCGCGGCUUAUCAGCUUGUUGGUGGGGUAGUGGCUUACCAAGGCUUUGACGGGUAGCCGGCCUGAGGGGGUGACCGGCCACAUUGGGACUGAGAUACGGCCCAGACUCCUACGGGAGGCAGCAGUGGGGAAUAUUGCACAAUGGGCGGAAGCCUGAUGCAGCAACGCCGCGUGCGGGAUGACGGCCUUCGGGUUGUAAACCGCUUUCGCCUGUGACGAAGCGUGAGUGACGGUAAUGGGUAAAGAAGCACCGGCUAACUACGUGCCAGCAGCCGCGGUGAUACGUAGGGUGCGAGCGUUGUCCGGAUUUAUUGGGCGUAAAGGGCUCGUAGGUGGUUGAUCGCGUCGGAAGUGUAAUCUUGGGGCUUAACCCUGAGCGUGCUUUCGAUACGGGUUGACUUGAGGAAGGUAGGGGAGAAUGGAAUUCCUGGUGGAGCGGUGGAAUGCGCAGAUAUCAGGAGGAACACCAGUGGCGAAGGCGGUUCUCUGGGCCUUUCCUGACGCUGAGGAGCGAAAGCGUGGGGAGCGAACAGGCUUAGAUACCCUGGUAGUCCACGCUGUAAACGGUGGGUACUAGGUGUGGGGUCCAUUCCACGGGUUCCGUGCCGUAGCUAACGCUUUAAGUACCCCGCCUGGGGAGUACGGCCGCAAGGCUAAAACUCAAAGGAAUUGACGGGGCCCCGCACAAGCGGCGGAGCAUGCGGAUUAAUUCGAUGCAACGCGUAGAACCUUACCUGGGUUUGACAUGGAUCGGGAGUGCUCAGAGAUGGGUGUGCCUCUUUUGGGGUCGGUUCACAGGUGGUGCAUGGCUGUCGUCAGCUCGUGUCGUGAGAUGUUGGGUUAAGUCCCGCAACGAGCGCAACCCUUGUUCACUGUUGCCAGCACGUUAUGGUGGGGACUCAGUGGAGACCGCCGGGGUCAACUCGGAGGAAGGUGGGGAUGACGUCAAGUCAUCAUGCCCCUUAUGUCCAGGGCUUCACGCAUGCUACAAUGGCUGGUACAGAGAGUGGCGAGCCUGUGAGGGUGAGCGAAUCUCGGAAAGUCGGUCUCAGUUCGGAUUGGGGUCUGCAACUCGACCUCAUGAAGUCGGAGUCGCUAGUAAUCGCAGAUCAGCAACGCUGCGGUGAAUACGUUCCCGGGGCU
rnacentral:rRNA from 1 species